rnacentral:rRNA from 1 species
GACGAACGCUGGCGGCGUGCCUAAUACAUGCAAGUCGAACGAAGCUGUUUUAACUGGUGCUUGCACCGACUUAAACAACUGAGUGGCGAACGGGUGAGUAACACGUGGGUAACCUGCCCCAAAGCGGGGGAUAACAUUUGGAAACAGAUGCUAAUACCGCAUAACCACAGAAACCACAUGGUUUCUGUGUCAAAGAUGGUUUCGGCUAUCACUUUGGGAUGGACCCGCGGGGUAUUAGCUAGUUGGUAAGGUAAUGGCUUACCAAGGCAAUGAUACGUAGCCGAAAUGAGAGGUUGAUCGGCCACAUUGGGACUGAGACACGGCCCAAACUCCUACGGGAGGCAGCAGUAGGGAAUCUUCCACAAUGGACGAAAGUCUGAUGGAGCAACGCCGCGUGAGUGAAGAAGGUUUUCGGAUCGUAAAACUCUGUUGUCAGAGAAGAACGUGUGCGAGAGUAACUGCUCGUGCAGUGACGGUAUCUGGCCAGAAAGCCACGGCUAACUACGUGCCAGCAGCCGCCGUAA